ACUCUUGUGGCCUAGUGGUUAGAGCGUCCGCCUCGGGUACUUGAAGUCGCGGGUUCGAACCCCAGCCAAAGACU